AUUGAACGCUGGCGGCAUGCCUAACACAUGCAAGUCGAACGGCAGCAUGAAUAGGGGUAACCUUAUUUGAUGGCGAGUGGCGGACGGGUGAGUAAUAUGUAGGAAUCUACCUAGAGGAGGGGGAUAACUUGGGGAAACCCAAGCUAAUACCACAUAAGCCCUACGGGGGAAAGCAGGGGAUCGAAAGAACUUGCGCCUUAUGAUGAGCCUACAUCGGAUUAGCUAGUUGGUGGGGUAAAGGCCUACCAAGGCGACGAUCCGUAGCUGGUCUGAGAGGAUGAUCAGCCACACUGGGACUGAGACACGGCCCAGACUCCUACGGGAGGCAGCAGUGGGGAAUAUUGGACAAUGGGCGAAAGCCUGAUCCAGCAAUGCCGCGUGUGUGAAGAAGGCCUUAGGGUUGUAAAGCACUUUCAGUAGGGAGGAAGGUUGUAAUGCUAAUAUCAUUGCAAAUUGACGUUACCUACAGAAGAAGCACCGGCUAACUCUGUGCCAGCCGCCGCGGUAA
rnacentral:rRNA from 1 species